UUCCAGCUCUAAUAGCGUAUAUUAAUAUUGUUGCAGUUAAAAAGCUCGUAGUUGAAACUUGAACACCUCAAUAAGUUUGGUCUACCUUUUAAGGUUUGACUACUUGUUAGUGUUCUUCCUACUGGUAACUCGAUUAUGUUCUUAAUUGAAUGUAAUAGCUAUCUUUCGGGAUAGUCAUCUAGUGUGAACAGCUCCACCAUAUCAGUGGCGAUGUGUAAAAGCAUUUAAAUUGAAUGAGUGGAUCAAGUUGAUUAUAUUAGAUGGAGUUCCAGUUCGUUUACUUUGAGAAAAUUAGAGUGUUUAAAGCAGCCUCUUGGGGCUCUGAAUACAUUAGCAUGGGAUAAUAGAAUAGGAUUUUAAGUCACUAUAUUUGUUUGGUUUUGUAAUGAAUUAAAUAAUGAUUAAGAGGGACAGUUGGGGGUAGUUUAUAUUGGAUGGUUAGCGGGUGAAAUGCAUGGAUCCAUUCAAGAUAAACUAAAAGCG
rnacentral:rRNA from 1 species